rnacentral:lncRNA from 1 species
GCCCGAUGCGGGACUCGAUCCCAGGACCCUGAGAUCAUGACCUGAGCUGAAGGCAGCGGCUUAACCACUGAGCCACCCAGGCACCCCAGGAAUGUUCUUCUUGUGGACCUGGGAGCCAACUCUCUGAAUGAAGUGCCGUGGAAGGAUUCAGAAGACAAGGGAAGGCCUGGCCUGGGGCUCCAGCCACAGCGAGGAGGCGUCGGGGAGGGGCACGGAACGCCCCCAGAACUGCGGGCACUCGACAGAACUCCACAAAUACACAUGGUGGCCCCGUUCCCGGACCUUCUGGCCCCACGCCCACAUGGAGGCCAGGACGGACCAGUGCAGCCCUGGGUGUCGGCUCAUCCAAGGGCUUUGUCCCUCCGUAAUGACGAAUGUCGCGUCGACGUAGAGGUGGUGAGUGUAUAAUGCUUGUAGCCGUUCCCAUAGUCCAUACGUGUGUUAUUUCAUUUUGACACGACGAUCUGGGAGAGGGUUAUGUGCCCAACAUUCCCGCUCUCUUUGGAGAACCUGGGGGCCUGAGGAAGGCUGCUCUGGAGCGGGCCCAGUGGGAGAAAACGGUGAUGCUUUCGGAGAAAAAUGCAAAUGUCAGAACAGUUGUGUUUUUUUUUUAAAGAUUUAUUUAUUUGACAGAGACCACAAGCAGGCAGAGAGGCAGGCAGAGAGAGAGGAGGAAGCAGGCUCCCGGCUGAGCAGAGAGCCCGACGCGGGGCUCGACCCUGAGAUCAUGACCCGAGCCGAAGGCAGAGGCUUAACCCACUGAGCCACCCAGGCGCCCCGUCAGAACAAAUUUUGACGCAGUAUCAGGGAGCACAAGGGCAGAGAUGAGGAGGAGCUGACCGCAGUCCCUCUUGGCACUGCUGCUCGGAGCACCGCCCUUCUUCCCAGUCGUAUCUACAUUUCAAAUGCCUUGUGACAGACACAAAAUCCGGCCACAUUCUGGGUGUCUGCCUGGCUCGGGUACGCUAGCACCCAGAUGCAUAAAAGCAAGUGUACAGAACAGAGUCACUGGUUAUAAGAGGAGCAGAGAGAGAUAAAAGUGAAGGGAAUCUAAUGAAAAAAGGUUGGGGUUCAUCACGGAAAGAGCCAGAACAGGGAUUCUGACCUAGACAGAUCUCUACCAGUGGCUCCCAGACUUUGACCUGUGCCAGAAUCAUGCGGAG